GUUGAAUUAAGUCGGCUGGGUUUGGUGUUCGUUCCAGGUAUUAAAAUUGAUUCGCUUGAUAUCCUUGACCUGUAUUAGAUUUUAUACAGCACAAAAAGCAGUUCAAUCUUGGUGCUAACUGUCAGUGACUAAUUAUCAUUGCUUUCAGGAACAAAACAUAUACAGAGCCGUGGUCGGAGACUGCCUGGCAGAAUACAAUUUCCACAGGUCCUGUUUAAAGACCAGGAAUAAAAUAUGCUCAAAAACAAUUGGGAGAGAGUGCCCAAUUUGUCAAGAGGAGCCUUCACUCGUCUCCAUGGAUGGCAAUUUUGGAUUGGUCCAUAAGGCCUCAGCAGGCAAAGGCCAUGGAGUUGCCUCCAGUAGGAACACUGGUGUGUUUUUUGAAGACCCAGGCCAAGUGAAGGAGUACGUGGAAAGCCAUACAGUAGAUGUAAAAAGUAAAAUCAGUGACUGCUCCAACUUCCAGGCGGGCAGUGUGGUACGAUCCAAAACUAAAAACAAGAAACUCGAUAUUACGGGCAUUUUUGGAAGUGCCUGCAUGUAAGCACGACAUUCCCCUGCGAUUUUUGGACAUGUUCCACGGUGAAAGGAUUGGAUAUUCCGUGUACCUGCUCGAAAAAUUCACGCAUGGGAGAACACGCCAGCUAACCGUAAUGUACGACAUUGCGUGCACAUUGGACAAGCACUUGAAGAUAUUAAUUUUGUGUUGUAAAUCCAUUAAUGUCGCACUUUUGCGACAGUGUACUUUUGCUGUGCCAGUGUUCCACAGCUUUGCACAUAUAAUGUGACCUGUCAGUUGGCAUAUGGGCAACGGUUUGCUGAAGGAACUGGCCUAACUGAUGGUGAGGGCAUUGAAAGGCUCUGGUCGUAUCUACAUGGUUUCAAGAAGAUCACGAAAGAAAUGUCUGAGAACAAUCGACACGACCUUCUUUCCGAAGCGUUGAUGCAUUAAUUACUCGGAUAAAACAAUUGCAAAGCUGGGGUACCGUCUCAAGGAAAGGUUUGAAAAAGCUACAAGAAUCGUCAAUGAGAGUGACGCCAUUAUUGACGAAAUACUUAGAAAAGAGAUGAUGUCAGAGGCAGCAAUUGGCAGGUGGCUAGAUGAGUGGAGGGAAACGUCAGCAAUGCAAAAGAAGCAAGCUCUCUUACUGUCUGCAGACGAAGCAUAUGCAGAAUGCCUGCAAAGAGCGAAAGUGGAGAGAUGCCACCUGGAUGUACUAGAUGGAGCUGAAAGAGCAGUUCACAUGGAAAAGAUUAAAAGGUGAAAGGUUUUGCUUGAAAUGCUUCCAAAUUCAAAACCAAAUACAGAGUGAAAGUAUUAUGUUUCACAAAGUUAUCGUUGCAUAGAAAAUUGUCUCUUUCUCGCGAUAAAAUUCUGUUGUUGUUGUUGUUCUGUUU